CCAGUAGUCAUAUGCUUGUCUCAAAGAUUAAGCCAUGCAUGUCUAAGUACAUGCCGUAUCAAGGCGAAACCGCGAAUGGCUCAUUAAAUCAGUUACGGUUCCUUAGAUGUUGACCAUGUCUACAUGGAUAACUGUGGUAAUUCUAGAGCUAAUACAUGCACAAAAGCUUCGACCUCUCGGGAAGAAGCGCAUUUAUUAGACCAAGACCAAUGGGGCUUUUCCGUUUCGGCGGAUUGCCCCUAACUGAGUGAUGAAUCUGAAUAACUUUAGCUAAUCGCAUGGCCUACGCGCCGGCGAUGAAUCUUUCAAGUGUCUGCCUUAUCAACUGUCGAUGGUAGGUUAUGCGCCUACCAUGGUUGUAACGGGUAACGGGGAAUCAGGGUUCGAUUCCGGAGAGGGAGCCUGAGAAACGGCUACCACAUCCAAGGAAGGCAGCAGGCACGCAAAUUACCCACUCCCAGCACGGGGAGGUAGUGACGAAAAAUAACAAUACGGGACUCUAAUGAGGCCCCGUAAUUGGAAUGAGAACAAUCUAAAUCCUUUAACGAGGAUCUAUUGGAGGGCAAGUCUGGUGCCAGCAGCCGCGGUAAUUCCAGCUCCAAUAGCGUAUAUUAAAGUUGUUGCGGUUAAAAAGCUCGUAGUUGGAUCUCAGUUCGCGUCAGGCGGUCCACUUGCCAGUGGUUACUGCCUGGCUGAACACAUUACCGAGCUGUCCCAUGGUGCUCUUCGCCGAGUGUCAUGGGCGAUCGGUACGUUUACUUUGAAAAAAUUAGAGUGCUCAAAGCACGCGUUAAUUCGCCCGAAUAAUGUUGCAUGGAAUAAUGGAAUAGGACCUCGGUUCUAUUUUGUUGGUCUUCGGAACCUGAGGUAAUGAUUAAGAGGGACAGACGGGGCAUUCGUAUUGCGCGCUAGAGGUGAAAUUCUUGGACGUCGCAGACGAACUAAAGCGAAAGCAUUUGCCAGAAUGUUUUCAUUAUCAGACGAAAGUUAGUAGGGUUCGCA
rnacentral:rRNA from 1 species